rnacentral:rRNA from 1 species
GGGGGGGGGUGGGGGCGGGGGUAGCGGAUGCGGGUCGGACGGAAAGGCCCUGCUUUUGGGGGGUGCUCGAGUGGCGAACGGGUGAGUAACACGUGAGUAACCUGCCCUUGACUUUGGGAUAACUUCAGGAAACUGGGGCUAAUACCGGAUAGGAGCUCCUGCUGCAUGGUGGGGGUUGGACAGUUUCGGCGGUUGGGGAUGGACUCGCGGCUUAUCAGCUUGUCGGUGGGGUAGUGGCUUACCAAGGCUUUGACGGGUAGCCGGCCGGAGAGGGUGACCGGCCACAUUGGGACUGAGAUACGGCCCAGACUCCUACGGGAGGCAGCAGUGGGGAAUAUUGCACAAUGGGCGGAAGCCUGAUGCAGCAACGCCGCGUGCGGGAUGACGGCCUUCGGGUUGUAAACCGCUUUCGCCUGUGACGAAGCGUGAGUGACGGUAAUGGGUAAAGAAGCACCGGCUAACUACGUG